rnacentral:rRNA from 1 species
ACACUGGGACUGAGACACGGCCCAGACUCCUACGGGAGGCAGCAGUGGGGAAUAUUGCACAAUGGGCGCAAGCCUGAUGCAGCGACGCCGCGUGAGGGAUGACGGCCUUCGGGUUGUAAACCUCUUUCAGCAGGGAAGAAGCGCAAGUGACGGUACCUGCAGAAGAAGCGCCGGCUAACUACGUGCCAGCAGCCGCGGUAAUACGUAGGGCGCAAGCGUUGUCCGGAAUUAUUGGGCGUAAAGAGCUCGUAGGCGGUUUGUCGCGUCUGCUGUGAAAACUCGAGGCUCAACCUCGGGCUUGCAGUGGGUACGGGCAGACUAGAGUGCGGUAGGGGUGACUGGAAUUCCUGGUGUAGCGGUGGAAUGCGCAGAUAUCAGGAGGAACACCGAUGGCGAAGGCAGGUCACUGGGCCGCAACUGACGCUGAGGAGCGAAAGCAUGGGGAGCGAACAGGAUUAGAUACCCUGGUAGUCCAUGCCGUAAACGUUGGGCACUAGGUGUGGGGCUCAUUCCACGAGUUCCGUGCCGCAGCAAACGCAUUAAGUGCCCCGCCUGGGGAGUACGGCCGCAAGGCUAAAACUCAAAGAAAUUGACGGGGGCCCGCACAAGCGGCGGAGCAUGCGGAUUAAUUCGAUGCAACGCGAAGAACCUUACCAAGGCUUGACAUACACCGGAAAAGUGCAGAGAUGUGCUCCCCUUUUGGUCGGUGUACAGGUGGUGCAUGGUUGUCGUCAGCUCGUGUCGUGAGAUGUUGGGUUAAGUCCCGCAACGAGCGCAACCCUCGUCCCAUGUUGCCAGCGGGUUAUGCCGGGGACUCAUGGGAGACUGCCGGGGUCAACUCGGAGGAAGGUGGGGAUGACGUCAAAUCAUCAUGCCCCUUAUGUCUUGGGCUUCACGCAUGCUACAAUGGCCGGUACAAAGGGCUGCGAUACCGCGAGGUGGAGCGAAUCCCAAAAAGCCGGUCUCAGUUCGGAUUGGGGUCUGCAACUCGACCCCAUGAAGUCGGAGUCGCUAGUAAUCGCAGAUCAGCAACGCUGCGGUGAAUACGUUCCCGGGCCUUGUACACACCGCCCGUCAAGUCACGAAAGUCGGUAACACCCGAAGCCGGUGGCCCAACCCUUGUGGGGGGAGCCGUCGAAGGUGGGACUGGCGAUUGGGACUAAGUCGUAACAAGGUAGCCGUACCGGAAGGUGCGGCUG